UCAUUGAAUUUAAAAAAAAGCCUAUCAUGGUCUGGCAAGAAAGAUAAUUUUUAUUUUUAUUUGGCAGAAUAAAAAGUUGUGAACGAAUAUCUAAGGCAGAAGGCUUCAUGCUCAACAACAAGGAUCCACAUCUGUCAAACCGGGGCCCAGGAGAGUGAGACUAUGGAGGACGGCAAAUGCCAGGCGACCAGUGCCCAUGGAUUGCAGGGUUCACGCAGAGCUGUAGGGACAGAUGAAGGAAGAUCUGGCCAGUGAAUCACGAUUAAAGAGGCCAUCAAGCUGUCAGCAAACGUGGGCUUGGAGGUGCCACACGGAUCCGUUUCACUGUAAACAAGCAGGGGGAACCUCCUAAAUAAUGGAGCCCGUCCUUUUUAUGCGCCUUAAAGAGAUUCAUCCCCCGCUGCUCCCGCUAGAUUUGAUUUUUAACUCCAAGCUGAGCCGCUGAACAUUACAGGCUCAUCUGAAAGGGGUUCUAAAAUGAAAAUGGAAAGCUUUCCGCUGUUCCCGGGUAAUCAUUACCUCCGAAGAUGGGAAGGCGGCUUCUGGCUCCAAACCAUUGUCUGAAUGGCGCAUUUUAUGCUUGGCUGAGCACCUCGACCGAUGCG